GUGGAUAAUUACUCAACAAUUGAGGUGCUCCUGAAUUGGAGGAAGAUUCUCAAAACAGAAUUUUUACAGAAAAAUAAUGAAUAAAAUCGUUUCUCUCCCCUAUCUCAUGUAUCCCCACGAUCUUUGUUUACUUUGAAAGUUGUUCACCUACACAUUAAAGUAUUGCAUAUUGAUGUUUGAAUCAUCUACAGCAAACAUUAUUAUGUUUAAAUUUAACAAAUACCAAUGUGUAAUUAGUGCACGAUCUCUGAGAAUGAUUUAAAUAACCAGUGAAGGAUAUCCCUGCUUCUGCGUAGUGUGGCAUUCCAAGAAUGACGUCACUAUAAAAUACAAUGUAGGUUGGAUAUAUUUAGAAUAUCUCGUCAUACUGAUUUUUCCGGAUUGUAAAAGAAACAUAAACAGUGUAAAGGAGAGCUCAAGAUACGAUAGUUUCGUG
rnacentral:lncRNA from 1 species